GUAUCCUGCGGCUGCAUUCACCAAAAGAACCCUGCGUUCACCAAAAGAACCCAGGUCAAGCCUCCAUAUUUGGGUCACAUGGAAGGCAAAAGUUUUACGUCCUGUUGAUGUACCUUCCCAGGCCUGUUUUUAAAGUUUAGUCCUGUUGACGACUCGUUACCCCGUUUUCUCCUGUUGUUGGGUUUCCGCAAAUAUUGGACCCUUUUAUCCAACUCUACCAUGGGCGACCUACUUGUGAUGUGGACCUGAGCCUCCGCCAUGUAGCAGACAACCCCCCUCAGGUCUUGCGGUGUAUCCUUCCCAAGUGGCGUGGGUGUGAAGAGACACCACAGUUCCCCUGAUGUUCCCUGGGUGACCUACUUGUGAUGUGGACCUGAGCCUCCGCCAUGUAGCAGACAACCCCCCUCAGGUCUUGCGGUGUAUCCUUCCAAAGUGGCGUGGAUGUGAAGAGACACCACAGUUCCCCUGAUGUUCCAUGGGCGACCUACUUGUGUACAAUUCAACUGCAUAUCAAAUAAUUUUAAUAAAAACCACAGAAAACUUCUCUUUUUAAAAAUUUAU